UUCAGUGAGCUCUUGGUGACUUCUGGCUGGGGAAGCCAUCUUCAGGGGCUAGGUUGAAACUAGUAAUGCCCACCUGGAACCUGGCUGGCCUCCAUUGCAGGAACAAGCAACAGCUUAGCAGGGCACUGGAUCCAAUUGUGCCCCCCCAAGUCCCUUUCUCUUUCCCACCCGCCCCAAGCUCAAGACAACCAGACCCAGUGAAGCCAAGGUUGGGGCCAUUCCAGAAGGCUGGGGAAAGAUGAGGCACCAUGGCCAUCACUGUCGGCUCCUUGGGACUCCAGUGCUCACCACCCAUGCGAGGGCAGAGAGACAGCCCUUGGAGGCCGCCCCUUGGAAGCCAUGCUGAGCUGGACCAGGCCCGAGAGUCCAGUUGACCCAGCUCACCCCCUGGGCCUCGGGGCGUGUGCCUAGCUUUUUGUCGAGGGUUUACAUGUGGCUGCCCCGGGAGUGUGAGCGCGGUAGAGGGAGGGGCACUCCGAGCUGCUCCAUCCGUCCGUUUUAUUAGGGACACAUUAAUCUAUAAUCAAAUACACCUCAUAAAAUUUUUA
ensembl:lincRNA Gm14396 predicted gene 14396